AUCUCAUUGAGGUUGCAAUAGCACUGACACUUAAAGUUAAGUGUUUUCUUGCUUGGUCUUAGCACUCUAGCCAAAUGGAUUUUGAGGGCCUCCUAUUCAUGGGUCACAGCUGCUUGACUCAAGGAUUUUUGCCUAUGCAUGCCCUGACAGUCAGAUACUAACUCACUUGGAUGCCUGCCUCUCACACUGCUCUACUUUAUGAAGUCAAGACCAUUAAUAAAAUCCAGUUUACAGAAAGGCCUAGAGAAGGUUAUUUCUCUGAACACUUCGCUGUACCUACUUCCAUAACAGAUGAACUUACCAGAUGUAACAGAAGCGGUUCUUCUGUUCUCGUGGAAGAUGAAGUUGUCCUUUGUUUUGAUGAGUCCUGAAGGACUUAAAGCCUUAGUAUUCUCACCAUUCUUGAAAAUGUCACACACUUCAGAUCGUCAGCCUCCUAGACACUAGACCUUGAUCAUUUUGUGAAUAUCACUCUUCAGGAAGUGUUCCUGGACGUAACCAAGGGUCAGGCUGCUUAUUCUCAUGGCCCAAUAAUGAGAUGCAGAUGAACUGGGAAAGAAGAGAGUUUAUUUCUGCAACCAGCUUCAGGGAGAAGGCCAGGAAAAUAUUGCCAGACCAGCUCAAAAUUACAAAGUUUUCCAAAGCUCAUGUACCUUCUAAGUCUACGUGCUCCACUGGCAGACAGCAGAGAAGGGGAGAAGAGGAGAAGCAGCUGGACAUUGAAGACUCUGGUUUGACAUAAGAGAGAAGCAGCUUCACUUCAGAGGGACAACUUGACAUUGGGACAUCAGGGGAAGAAUGCCUUCUUCCUACUCCAUCCCCUUUCCAGCUCCCCCUCUCACUGAGAGCCACUUCCAUCAGCAAUAAAAUCCCCCACAUUUACUAUCCUUGAAUUUGUGCAACCUGGUUUUUCCUGGACACCAGACAAGAGCUUGGGAUACAGAAAACUGUCACACUAACCAUCUGCCCUCAUGAAAAGGCAGAGGGUCCACUGAGCUAUUAAACACUGAAGCUGUCUGCAGACAGCAAAGCUAAAAGAGCACUGUAACACACUCCCUCUGGUGCUUCAGGGGUAACAGGUAGUCCCGUAGACACCGCCAUCAGGCUACACGGAGUUUUGCUCCUUCCAGUACCCAAAAGCACUCACUCCAGCUUCUGCACCUGCUCACCUGCAUGCUCCCCCUCCCACGAGGGGUUGAAAGCUGCGGGCUGAGUAAGUGAGGCACCCCUGUCACAAGGCUUGAGAAGGGAUCAAGGAAAAUUUCCUGUUUCAUUAUGCUUUGUUCAUGCCUAUCUCUGGACAAGCAACUAUGGCCAGGGAAAAGGGGUUGUACAAUAUGUUCAGGAGAAGAGAAGAAGCUACUCUUUUGGCCAUUUUGAACAAUAGCCAAUUCACCACACAGCAUAAUUAAUGGUUUAGAAUUUUUUCUUCUUUUAUUUUUUUCUUUCUGUAGAGACAGUAUCUCAUUGUGUUGCCCAAGCUGGUCUCGAACUCUUGGACUCAAGCAAUCAUCCUGCCUCAGCCUCCCAAAGUGCUGGGGUUAUAGGCAUGAGCCAACACGCCCUGCCUAGAAUUUCAUUUCUAUUCAUUAAAAAUACAUCAAAUGGUUUUUAUAUUACAGUAAAAUCACUAUUUCAAAUGAUUAUUCCAUAUAUUUUAUGUGCAAAAUUAAGAGCUGCCAUAUUGUCUUUAAAGGCCUGCAGGUAUAGAAAGGACUCACUGCUUUUUAUGAACACAUCUCUCCUAUUCACACCUCCAAGAGUUAUUGCUUCUUGGUAACCCUCCAUUAAGCGUUUGAUUAAGUUCAAGGUGAUUAGAUUAUUAACACUUUAGUCAUGGUCUGGUUGGCUUAUCCCCCUACCCCUCUCCAUUCUUUUAAUCACUGCUCUAUUCAUCCACUCAACAAAUAUUUAAUGAGUGCCUAUUAUAUGCCAAUUCUAUAGAUACUAAACAUAAAUAGAGAUAAAUAAAGCAUGAUCUCUGCAUUUAAGGGCUAUACCAAAGAUGGGACAUCAGACAAAUAAACAGAUUAUUAUAAUACUGUGUAAGGGCCAAGUCCCCUUCAUCCUCUGAAAGUUCACUGAAAAUCAACUGACAAAAAGUAGACUAAUACAAGAAAAAGCACACAUUCUAUUAACAUGCUAUAGGCGUCUUACAAAAUAAGAUCUCUUAAAAAGGCAAAUGAUUGACCCACUUAUGCCAUGUCGAGGUUACAGAACUAAUAGGUGUCUGGAUCAUGGCAAAACUAAUUACAGGAGGGGGAGAAGAGGAGGCCUGGCUAGCAAAGGUGAUCUUGUUCUGUGGAUGAAACCUCACAGGCCUCAGCCCUCAGAAAGAAUAGAUGGUAAAUGUUUAUUUUAGGCUUUUAAAGGUGUCAGACUCUUGGCCAAUCUUUCCUAGAUCUGACAAAGCCUGGCUGCAUCAAUGUAGAUUCUCUACAGAUGCAAAUCACCGCCUCAACACACAGUUUUACAGAGCUGCUUCUGUUUGCAGACCCUCUGAAUGUUACAGGUAGUUAGACAGGCAUGAGCUGGGCAGGAGAGGGCUCUCCUCAACCCACCAGGAAUGUCAGGUGAUGAUUCAACGAUUAGCACAUUGCUUCUCUACAGAUGAUAAUUUGGCAGCAGGCACCAGGGAGAAGCAAAAAUAACUUCCAAUAAAAUCUCAGGUAUUGGGUGAAUGAGUCUAGACACGUAGAUUAGGAGACAAAAUGGCAGAGCAUGACCUUCCGGGGGCAGUCCACCAGAAAAGAGAAGAAGACCUGAGAUGUGCCUGUGUACAACCUCCUGAAUACACUGCGUGUGCUCACUUCCCAAGCAUAAGGAGGGCACUCCACAUGCAGGCAGCCCACCCUAAGGGAAGAAUCAUGGGAAAGGGGGACGUGAGAAGCAGGAGGUCGGCCAGCCUAUAAAGUCCUGGGAUCAAGGUUAAACACCACUCUUGACCUCGAUGCCUCGUUGGGUCUCUUCCAAGUGUAUUUUUCUUUCUUUCCUGUUCUAAGGUCUUUUUAAAUAAACUUCCACUCCUCCUCUGAAACUUGCCUUUGUCUCUUUUUCUGGCUAUUCCCCUCAGUCGAAUUCUCUCUUCUGAGGAGGCAAGAGUUGAGGUUGCUGCAGACCCAUAUGGAUUCGCCACCG
rnacentral:lncRNA from 10 species